rnacentral:rRNA from 1 species
CCUACGGGGGGCAGCAGUGGGGAAUCUUGCGCAAUGGGCGAAAGCCUGACGCAGCCAUGCCGCGUGAAUGAUGAAGGUCUUAGGAUUGUAAAAUUCUUUCACCGGGGACGAUAAUGACGGUACCCGGAGAAGAAGCCCCGGCUAACUACGUGCCAGCAGCCGCGGUAAUACGUAGGGGGCAAGCGUUAUCCGGAAUCACUGGGUGUAAAGGGUGCGUAGGCGGUAGGGCAAGUCAGAUGUGAAAGCCCGGGGCUCAACCCCGGGAUUGCAUUUGAAACUGUAGGGCUUGAGUGCAGGAGAGGAGAGUGGAAUUCCCAGUGUAGCGGUGAAAUGCGUAGAUAUUGGGAGGAACACCAGUUGCGAAGGCGGCUCUCUGGACUGUAACUGACGCUGAGGCACGAAAGCGUGGGGAGCAAACAGGAUUAGAUACCCGUGUAGUC